GCCUUCGUGGUGUAACGGUUAGCACACUCGGAGCGUAUCGAGAAGUCUAGGGUUCGAGUCCCGUCGAGGGCA
rnacentral:tRNA from 1 species